CAGACCGGUCCCUGUUCUUGAUGACCCGGCCUUCCUAUAUUGCCAUGUCGUGGAAGUGCUUCGGCGGUGGGCGUGUCCCUCCCGCUACUCCCCGAGACCGCGUCCAGGUUUCAUUCAUCAAUGUAGCUCCAUCUGCUCCCAUUCCCUCACUCGUGUGGAUUCUGAAGGAAUGCGGAGCCCCCGAUCGUGCCGCCCGCGGUGAGCGGCGGAUGAUGGUGCCGCCGUGCUGCUGCGCUAUGCAGUCCGCCAGGAGGAGGGAGCCAGUGCCGCUGUGGGAGAGAAGGAAGCGUCGGUGACAGCGGCAAGGCCUCGCCGCCGCAGAUCGUGGAUAGGGUUAUGGAGAAAAUCUGAUAUUUACUGAGAUCUUGGAAUAGAGGACCUGUGCUCAUAAUUAAUGAUAUGUUAUGAAGCUUGAUGAGGACUGCGGCAGUCCGAUGGAGCAAAAUACAUUGUGGUCUUUCACAUUUCACUUGGCAAAUCGUCCUAAUGUGGCCUGAAUUUUACUGAGAUCUCGAAACGGAGCAGCACUUUAAUGAUGUUAUGAAGCUUGAUGUGUUGUCUAUUAGCGAAACAUUCCAACUCUAGUCACCGUAAUCUGACAUGAAGCUUUAUGGAACAGCGGAGCAGAGGAUGUCGCAGUGAUAGAGUAUGAGAUGCUAACGGGUCGACCAUUUAGCAUGCUCAGCCGAGACAUACAGAAUCCAUGAUGCGGUGGAGAAACAUUACAGCAUCCACAUUGAGCACAUGUUCCCGGAUGCCGCAGAGGUGCAGGCCAUCAUCGUUCAACAAAGAUGGGCACCAGAAGUCGUGCAGAGCCAGGAAGGAUGCUGAAAGGUACCUGUUCAUGCUUGGAUCACCAAACAGAGGAAGAAGGAUCAAUCUCUUGUUCCCAGCGAUUGUUAUUCAGGUUGAUUAUGUUUUUGGAGACGUCAAUGGUCUUCUUGGUAGCUUGAUAAAAUGGAACCCGGUCGCGAAUGUGGAUGGAUGGCAAGGAGCUGCAUCGUCUAACAGUGCCUUACCACCUAGUGGCCGAUGUGACUUUACAAUCACGUCACAGGCGAUGGAAGCCUCGUAUAUGGGGGGGGAGUCGGUUGGCCAACGAGUUGGGGAAGCUCUGCUCUCAUGUUGCGGUAGCCAUUUGCGCAGAAAGAACUUGCCUUCUUCCACAAGAACACAUCUCAGCACCUCUGAAAGGUGGGAUGUCGAUUCGCCUACUGGCAUUUGUCGAUGCUCUUCGAUGAUGUUAGGCCAUGAUCAUCUGGAUGUCGGAUGAUACAUCGUAUCAUCAAACCCUGUGGCUUGGUUAGCUUCUGCUACUGAGUUCCCCCUUUCUACUUCACUUCUCUCGGUUUCCUUCGAAUGGCUUUUGGAGGUCAUACAUGGAGAAGCAUAUAUUCUACUGUAUAGUGAAUCAAACCGAUGUCUGUUAUCGAAAUUGUGGCGAUCGCCCACCACCAUAUUUUUAAGAGUGAUCUUAAUUUUGGCUUCCUGAA